AAAUGUGAUCUUCUAGAAGUGGUUUCUGAAAAAUAAGUACAUAUACACAAGUAAGCAAGCACAAGAAUCUGAAAAACCACAGGUCAAGAUACACAGCACUUCCAGCACCCCUGGGGAUUUCUUCCUUUUGCCUUUCUGGUCAGUUUUCACCCCACUUUCAACCUGAAGGCGCUGGGAAUCACCAUUCUACUUUAUGUCUCUAUGAAUUUGACUGCUUAAGUGUCUCAUGAGUAGAACCACAGACUAUUUAUUCUUUUGUAACCAGCUUU